rfam:Roseivivax jejudonensis strain CECT 8625 genome assembly, contig: 0001
UUCCCGUCACAACGGCUUCCUGGCGUGGCGGACGUACCCAACGGAGCA